GAUGAACGCUAGCGGCAGGCUUAAUACAUGCAAGUCGAGGGGCAGCAUGAGUGUAGCAAUACAUUUGAUGGCGACCGGCAAACGGGUGCGGAACACGUACACAACCUUCCUAUAAGUGGGGAAUAGCCCAGAGAAAUUUGGAUUAAUACCCCGUAACAUAAUGAUGUGGCAUCACAUUAUUAUUAUAGCUACGGCGCUUAUUGAUGGGUGUGCGGCUGAUUAGAUAGUUGGCGGGGUAACGGCCCACCAGUCUACGAUCAGUAGCUGAUGUGAGAGCAUGAUCAGCCACACGGGCACUGAGACACGGGCCCGACUCCUACGGGAGGCAGCAGUAAGGAAUAUUGGUCAAUGGACGCAAGUCUGAACCAGCCAUGCCGCGUGUAGGAUUAAGGUCCUCUGGAUUGUAAACUUCUUUUAUCUGGGACGAAAAAAGGCGAUUCUUCGUCACUUGACGGUACCAGAUGAAUAAGCACCGGCUAACUCCGUGCCAGCCGCCGCCGUAAAAC
rnacentral:rRNA from 1 species